rnacentral:rRNA from 1 species
UGCAAGUCGUGGGGCAGCGCAGUGUAGCAAUACAUGGGCGGCGACCGGCAAACGGGUGCGUAACACGUACGCAACCUUCCCGUUACUGUGGCAUAGCCCAGGGAAACUUGGAUUAAUACCACAUAUUACAUAGAGGCGGCAUCGUCUUUAUGUCAAAGCUUCGGCGGUAACGGAUGGGCGUGCGGUUGAUUAGGUAGUUGGCGGGGUAACGGCCCACCAAGCCUACGAUCAAUAGCUGAUGUGAGAGCAUGAUCAGCCACACGGGCACUGAGACACGGGCCCGACUCCUACGGGAGGCAGCAGUAAGGAAUAUUGGGCAAUGGACGCAAGUCUGACCCAGCCAUGCCGCGUGAAGGAUUAAGGUCCUCUGGAUUGUAAACUUCUUUUCUCUGGGGCGAAAACCAGCUAUUCUUAGCUAGUUGACAGUACCAGAGGAAUAAGCACCGGCUAACUCCGUGCCAGCAGCCGCGGUAAUACGGAGGGUGCAAGCGUUAUCCGGAUUCACUGGGUUUAAAGGGUGCGUAGGUGGGCUAGUAAGUCCGUGGUGAAAUCCCCGAGCUUAACUUGGGAACUGCCAUUGAUACUAUUAGUCUCGAAUAUCGUGGAGGUAAGCGGAAUAUGUCAUGUAGCGGUGAAAUGCUUAGAUAUGACAUAGAACACCAAUUGCGAAGGCAGCUUGCUACACGGUCAUUGACACUGA